CCUACGGGAGGCAGCAGUGAGGAAUAUUGGUCAAUGGGCGCGAGCCUGAACCAGCCAAGUAGCGUGAAGGAUGACUGCCCUACGGGUUGUAAACUUCUUUUAUAAAGGAAUAAAGUGAGGCACGUGUGCCUUUUUGUAGGUACCUUAUGAAUAAGGAUCGGCUAACUCCGUGCCAGCAGCCGCGGUAAUACGGAGGAUCCGAGCGUUAUCCGGAUUUAUUGGGUUUAAAGGGAGCGUAGUUGGGUCGUUAAGGCAGUUGUGAAAGUCUGCGGCUCAACCGUAGAAUUGCAGUUGAUACUGGCGGCCUUGAGUACGCGUGAGGUAGGCGGAAUUCGUGGUGUAGCGGUGAAAUGCUUAGAUAUCACGAAGAACUCCGAUUGCGAAGGCAGCCUAC
rnacentral:rRNA from 1 species